AUUAGGUAAAAAAAUAGAGGUCUAAAACAAUCUCACAACUUGGGAAUUAAAACCAGUGCGUCUUUUCUUUUGAAAAAUAAGACAACAUCACUUCCCAAAAGUAACCGAUAAUGGCAUGUGAGCCAUGUUAGGGAAGCAGCAAGGCAUUUACUACUUUUUCCUGCAAAUCACUUCCCAAAAGUAACCGAUAAUCCCAAAAGUAACAGAUAUAAUACAAGAGUAAUCCUGAAACGUUAAAUCUCAUUAUCAUUUUACAGAGAGUUUCUAGCCUUUCUUGCUAAAAGCGCUUAAUUCACAUCAAAUUUGAAUUUUAUGUCUCAAAUUCAAUAAACAAACGAAUGUAAGGCGAACAUUGUUAUACAAGUAUGUGAAAUUUUUUAUGCAAUUGGAUUUGGCACUGAAGCGACUUUAACGGUCAAAAGUAUGUGAAAUUUUUAUAUGAUAACAGUCUUUGAGUAACUAUGCUCUAUGUGUUGCAUUAUUGUUAGGUUACGACCCAACAUAACAGAAUAACAGGAUGUAUCGUUAGCAUAUAUACGUUGCGUUCACACAUGCCGACUUGGUUGAUCGAAAGAGAAACAAAAAGGAAACCCAAUUUCCCCCAAUUUUCCCAGUAGUUGCCUACUAUCCAAAGAAACCCAAAAAACCCAGCUGCAACAGAUCCCAAAAAAAACCAAUUAAACACAGAAAAAUUGGGGGAAAAUGUUAGAGAAUUGGUAAAAAUUGGGAUUUUUAUGCAAACCACCACACAUUCAUGCAAUUCUACACAAUACAGUAAACAAGAGAGGGAAAGGACAGAGAGAGACCUCAAGUAACUUGGCUCACUGUAAUGAACUGAUACCACCACCAGCACUAGAACUACCACCUGCAGAAAGAAUACAAGUCAUGAACCAAAGAUUUCCCACAAAAUAUUCCAAAAUACAAGCUUAUGAAACAAAAUAAAAUCAGAUCUACGGCUCUACCAAAACCCCCUUUUCCUUUCACCGGAGCGGAGAAACACAGAAACAAGAAACAAAGAUUUCCCACAAAAAUACUACAAAAUAGAAGCAUAUGAAUGAAAAAGGAUCAGCUCUAUGGCACUACCUCAAAACCCCAUUUUCCUUCCGAUGGAGCGGGAAGAGAGGGAGGAUCAUGGUGAGUUUAUCUCAGCCAAAGCCUCUGGAUACCAAGAAGAAGGAUAAAAAAUUAGAAAAAAUACAAAAUGAAACAAAUGAACACUACAUAUCAUAUAACCUGAUCCAGCAUGAACUCAGUUCUACCCAAUUAAAUACAUUUCUGUUCACGAGUCAACCAUAGCCGAUUGGAACUUGCCUCCUACUAUCUCUCUUCCCUUUUUCACGGGGCAGUCUUCAGUCCUGUGGUCAUAAGUAGAAGAACAAAUCCUGCAAUAAUUACCAACAGCUUUUCCUACCCAUUCCUCACCAGGAUGGCCACCCUCUUUUUGACAACAUAUGCAAACGAGUUUACCGCCGGGGCCAACUUUUUCACCCUUUGGGACAUAGUACCGGUACGGACAAAUUGGAACCACAUGAUCCUCCCUCAAACAGAGUCGACAUCUCACGUCAUGAACAACAGUUGAAGAGUCUGCACAAGCAUUCAAGUUAGUCGAGCAUGCUAAUCCUAACUUUUGACACCAUAAACAUGUGACAUGCCCAAGUAAAUAUCAAUGACUAAACUGUGUUUCUAAUACCGAAAGAGGACUAUGUGAGUACUUCAAAUAGGGACUGCAAAGGGGUGGAUUGGGGCCAGACUAGCUAAACUUCCCCAAAACCCUGUCCUUGCAAGUCCAAUCGAAUUAAAGAUUCCCCAUACACAAAAUCCGUCAGGUAAUGGAUCCCCAUCAGUUAAAGGUUUUACCUAUCAUCAUCAUAUCAACAAAAAGUUGUUUUGAAUAGUUAAUUAAGAACCGUCACACACUAAUAUUAUCUGCAUGACCCUUUCAAAGUUGUCAAAAAAGAUUUAUGAACCAAACUAAAUAAACACUAAAGGCAUAAAUUAAAAAUAGAAAUAAAAGCUAAAUACAUAAUAACUGUAUUUUUUGUUAUAUAAUAUCGCCGUCGGCAUCACUCUAUUGUUCACAAAUGGCUCGUUUCCCAGUGGCCUUCUCUGCACGUUCGGUCAAUAUGAGGAGGAACCCAAAAAACGAAUAAAAACUGGGGAGAGUCAGAGACCGAUAUUGAAUCAUAUACCCAAAACAGGUUUCUUAAAAACAGACCAGAGUCCACAGAUUUAAUGGGUUAGAUUGUCUUGCCUAACUUUAACAGUCAUUCCGCUAUUUCGAUCAUCAGUCUCGAGAGAUUAUGUUAUGUAAAAGAGAGACGCGAUCAUGGUUGCACCAUCAUCAAAUGAAUCGCCCAGCCUCACCAAAAUGUAAAAGGGAGAAGAAAUAGCAGAGAAAAAAAUACAAAAAACAUACCAAAACGCGGGCAUUGCUUAGUCAUGUGGUCAUCGCUCUUCUUACAAAUUCUACAGUAGAUGGGAGGCGGGAUAUGUGGUUGGAGACAAAACCAUCGACCCGUUUUUGGUUUGUCAUCUGUCUGUGCUUCCGCUGUAAAAUAAUUACACAAACUUAAUAUCAACAUGGAUGAAUAAUAUGUACUGUUUCCCGUAUUUGUACAAAAGAAAAGAAAAAAAACACUCUUCAUCUUCCUCAUAAACUGAAAAAUUCAGAGAUUGGCACACCCGAAUCACAAACAAAAAUCGAAUAAAAUAAUAAACCUGACUAGUCUUGUUAAUUCGGGGGACAUACUGGUGUUCUUCCUUUCUUUGAGGGAUGAUCUUCGUGCCCUUAUCUCACUCAAUUCUUUUUUCGCUGUUAAAUACACAAAAUUUAAAGAAAUAAUAUCUGGGAUAUAGGCUUGCUUGCAAAAUUAAUCACAAAACCCUAAAAUUAAAUCAAAGAAAAAAAAAAACAUCAAAACCAUACCAGUCAUUCGAGCAUUAUAGUUUUCCUCGAUAGCAAAAUAAACCUUUCCCGGGGGGAAGUCCUCGAAUUCAUCAUCAUCGCUAUCGUCCCAGUGCCAUAUGAGCUUCCCCCGCUUGCGCAGCUCGUCUGCGUUCGGUGGUAAGUCCGGGAUCGGGCCCUGGAGCGAUUCUAGAUCUGGACUCAAGAGUUUUUGUUUCUUGCUCUGGCGCUCGGACUCGUUACCGCUCUGGCUCAUGGCUGUGUGCGAAAGAGAGAGGAGAUUCCGGUGGGGAGCCUGGCCUUGUGAAUAUAAGGGUUUGUUUUUCCCUUUUUCAUUAUUAUUUUUAAUUUCUGUUUUUGGUAAAGGUAUAAUCGCACACUCAGAAAUCGAAGAGGCACCUACUUUUCUAGCCUUGUUAGCACCUGUCACACGCACUCAGUUUUGCAGAAAUUAUGGGCAUUCUGUCGAAGACUUCUGGUGAAGUAGAAAGCACAUGAAUCUUACUGUUCAAUCACCCACUUCCCACACGCAACAAUAGCUCAUGGGUACCACAGAUAACUUUGCCAAAGUUCUCUGCCAAAGUUGAGCACGUGAAGCUUGCAGCUCCCACUACAUCGCUCUGACCAAGAAAGGUAAAAAAAUAGCAAAGAAACAGCACUAACAAAGUUUAGACACAUAAAUUUUGAAGGUCUAGCUACCAUAUUAUUACCCACAAGGGUAAAGGAACAGUACCACUGCCGGAUAAUUGGAAAGUCCCUGUGUCAACCUCUGUGCUUCGUGGCAAGGUAGACUAGCAAACAUGCCCAACCUUUACUCACAUUCGAGAAAACACUCCCAACAAGAUUGCUUGCUCCAAAAUCGAAGAGGCACCGUCCUCCGAAUCUCGAGAGCCAGACUCCCAACAUGACUACUUUCUCAAAAGCGAAGAGAGGGUAAAGGAACAGUACCAUUGCUGGAUAAUUGGAAAGUCCCUGUGUGUCAACCUUUGUGCUUCGUGGCAAGGUAGACUAACAAACAUGCCCAACCUUUACUCACAUUCGAGACAACACUCCCAACAGGAUUGCUUGCUCCAAAAUCGAAGAGGCACCGCCCUCCGAAUCUCGAAAGCCAGACUCCCAACAUGAUUACUUCCUCAAAAAUCGAAAAGACACUGCUCUCCGAAUCUCGAGAGCCAGACCCCCAGCAUGAUUGCUUUCUCAAAAAUCGAAGAGGCAUCGUUCUCCGAAUCUCGAGAGCCAGAUACCACAGACCACUUUUUCAAACUGCUCUGACAGAGUUAAAACAUGUGAAACUGGCAGCUCCCACUACCGUGCUAUGACCAAGCAGGGUAAAGGAAUAGCAUUACUACUUGUUGUUAGGGAGAUUCCUAUAUAUGUCGACCUCCAUCUCCAACGGACAGGCAGGCCUGCAAAAAUGCUCAACCCUUCAUCAUAUCUGAGAGGGCACUCCCAACGAAGCCUUUCGAAAUAUUCAGCUUUCUUUCCCCCCGAUAAUACCUCUGCAAACAAGCUAUACUAGAGCAAGAAUAUCUCAUAUCAUCAGGGUUAAAAGCAAGAGUAUCCCAUAUCAUGUUUUUUUCGUCUUUUCCUUUGGCCUUGUUUUUACCUGCAAGACAAGGAGAAAGAGAGCAAUCAGUCAGCACUUGGAAUCAAGCUUCCAGCCAGAAACUGACUGCCUGGAACCCCUUACCUGAUUACUUAUCUGGCAUUGCUCUCGAGUACUCAUCUUCAACAUCUUAUGUUUCCAGGGAAGAUUCCGCAUCUGCUUGAGGAACAGAUAGGGCAAGUGCGAAGGAUACAAGGAAGCAUGUGGAGACAAGCGUAACAGCACACGUGCCGAUACAUCCAUUACUCUGUCAAAAGCAAAAGUAUCACAUAUCAGCAGGGUGGAACGUACUCUAGAUUUGAUGGACUUGUUUUGACCCUCAAAUUCUUCAGUCGGCCUUAUACUCUGGAGGAAACCAGAAAACCCUCCAGCUCAGUUCAAGAAUAAGCCUGUGGAAAGUUACUUCUUCAAAAGCAAAAGUAUCUCAUAUCAUCUCUUCUCAUUUUUCUUCUCUUUAUCCUUCAUGCUGCUGCAAGAUGGGGAGAAGGUGAACAAUCAGUCGGAGCUCUGAUUGCUUACCUUGUCUGUCACCUCUUUCAGCAGACCCCGUAGCUCGGCGACUUGGGGGACUCCUACUACAUGGUUUGUAUCGCGCUUGACCAAGCCUGAAACUACAAGUAAGCUUCAAGUGAAAUUGAUACAUUACCUUAUGCAUCUCCACCAGUUAAAGAUACCAUCCCUGGAUGGAGGAAGAGUACUUCCAGAGAAGAUGCCACAUCUACCUAUGAGACAGAUAAGGCAAGUCAAGACGACACCACACUCCGAUACUUAGAAGUUUCGUGAUUACGAGAUCAUUCUCACACAAUAUUUCCUAAUGUCAUUUGUACUAAAUCAUUCACUUGUACUCACUAAAGGAGAGCUUGAACCUAUGUACUUGUGUAAACCCUUCACAAUUAAUGAGAACUCUUCUAUUCCGUGGACGUAGCCAAUCUGGGUGAACCACGUACAUCUUGUGUUUGCUUUCCUAUCUCUAUCCAUUUAUAUACUUAUCCACACUAAUGACCGGAGCAAUCUAGCGGAAAUCACAAAAAGCGACCGUUUUCGCUACCUAGGAUCUAUCUUGCAAGAGAACAGAGAAUUAGAUGGAGAUCUCAACCAUAGAAUACGAGCUGGAUGGAUGAAGUGUAAGAGUGCAUCCGGCGUGUUGUGUGACCGUCGUAGGCCACUGAAGCUCAAGGGAAAAUUUUAUAGGACGGCAAUAAGGCCAGCGAUGUUGUAUGGCACAGAAUGUUGGGCGGUGAAGCAUCAACACGUACACAAAAUGGGUGUAGCGGAGAUGAGGAUACUUCGUGGGAUGUGUGGGCACACGAGAAAGGAUAAGAUUGGGAAUGAGGAUAUCCGAGGUAAAGUAGGAGUAGCCGAAAUUGUAGGAAAGAUGAGAGAAAAUCGGCUCCGGUGAUUUGGACAUGUGCAAAGAAGGCCGACUGACGCUCCGGUUCGAAGAUGUGACUACGGGACAGAGGUUCAGGGCCGAAGGGGUAGAGGAAGACCUAGGAAAACUUUGGAAGAGACUCUAAGAAAAGACUUGAGUACUUGGAUCUAACGGAGGACAUGACACAAAACCGAGCGCAAUGGCGUUCUAGGAUUCAUAGCCGACCCCACUUAGUGGGAAAAUGCUUUGUUGUUGUUGUUGUUGGUAAAGGUAUAAUCGCAUUGGAUUUUGAAUUUUUUUUUACUAACAUGUGAAUGUGGUAUGUGUACCAUUACUCAUAAAUAAUAUGUUUUGUUAAUGCGAUAAGGUUAUUAUCAAAUAUAAUCACAUUGAAAAUAAAUUUUUUGAAACUAUAUUUUAGGUCAGAUUUGACCUGUGUCAAUAAAUUUAACGAUUAGAUAUAAAUAUCUGAACUUGUGUAGAAGCUAAUCCAACAUUUUGAUAUGGUUUUCUUAUUGUUUUUCAUAAUCGUUUGACAUAUUAUCUGCUUGUGAUAUCUUGAAAACAGAGGAUGCCCACUACAGUAGCAGUUAUUCUAGUUGAUGAGGGCACCAUAUUUGCAGUGGAUACUCGGGUUUCUACGAGAUUAAUGAAACUAAAUCUCAUUAUAUCAUGAUGAGGAUAUGAGUUUAACUCAAGACUAUUUAGUUUGAAGUGUGGGACACGAGGAAAUAAUCGAAGUUUGUUUGAACAUUUGGAUAAACAUGUGCAAAAGCCUUUUAAAACAGGUAAUGCACCUUAUAGCUAUAUAUAUAUAUGUAUAUUAUAAGAUCAUGAGACUUUGAAUUAAUGUAGGACAUAAACCUUAUCGUUGAAGGAUUCGCAACGAAAACUAUGCGAUUCAUAGAUAAUACAGGGAGAUGUCUUUGAAAUUGCCAACUUUUUUGUAGGAAGUGAUUCCGAUGCGACUCAUUCAAUAGUCAGGUUUAUAUUCUACAUUAAUUCAAAGUCAGAUGACAUUGUAAUAUAAUAUUAUAUAUAUAUAUAUAUAUAUAAGGUGCAUUUCCUGUUUCAAAAGGUUUCGCACAUGUUAAUCCAAAUAUUCAAACAUACUUCAAUUAUUUCCUUGUAUCCCACAAUUCAAACCAAAUGGUCUUUAGUUAAACUCAUGACCCUCAUCAUGAUAUCCAUGAGAUUCAGUUUCACUAUUCUCGUAGAAACCCCUAGCAUCCACUGCAAAUAUGGCGCCCUCAUCAACUAGAAUAACUACAACCGUAGUGGGCAUCCUCUGUUUUCAAGAUAAAAGAAUAAAGUAGGUAAUUAAAAAAUUCCCAUCACAAGUAGAUAAUAUGUCAAACAAGAUUAUGAAAAACAAAGAAAAUAAGAAAACCACAUCAAAAUGUUGGAUUAGCUUCCACACAAGUUCAGAUAUCUGCAUACGUGUAACUACAUAAUGACUUAAACUCCAUACUUUGAAGAUCAAGGUUUCAUUUCACAUACUUCAUAACAAACCUUUUAUCUAUAUAAGCAAAUCCUUUAACAAGAGGAGUUUAUGAGUACAAUUGAAAUUGACAUUGAAACGUUCUCAUACAGUCAAAGCAAUGAUAAAAGCAAGCAACUUUUGAUUGGAGCUGCAAUUUCACAAACAUAAACAACAUAAGAGUUUUAAAUUUGUCCCUACUCCUUCAGACACCACAAGAGCAAAAGACUAUCUAUCUUACAAUUCCCCUCCCACCCCCGACUCAGACGUGUACAAAAUCCCCAUAACACAGCAACUUUGAGGAAGAUAAACAACAACAGGGGAAACAAAAAGGAAAUUAAGAAAACCCCACUUUCAAAUUAGAAGUAGAAACCCAAUUUCCGACAAAUCAAUCAGUAAACCUUCAAUUACAAAAUAAAAUUCCAAAGAAACCUAAAUCCAAUCAAACAGAAAAGAUAACAAAGAAAAGGAAGAUAGUCAACACUCCUUCCUUUUGUGAUGUUUAACAUACAACAAUGUGUUACAUGUCUUACAGUCUUAUCGUCAAAAUGUAAGACAUGCCACACUAUUCAGACAACCCAAGGAGGACUACAACAGCAAGCAAAAAGAAAUAUUCAAAUAGCAUUAAAGGAAAUAUGCACUGACAAAUAAAGAAGACAACCACAUCAGCAAUCUCAAUAAACAACAUUUGACAAAUAUCAUGUUCUGUGAAAUGCAUUUGAAUGAACCCUUUGAAACUUUGUACUAUAUAAUCACUUUCAAGAGAAUCAUAACUAAAUUAAUUUAUCAUAUUAGCCUUUAAAUCUUAUACACUUAUACAAUAAUCUCUAUUGUCAUUCAUAUUAGCCUUUAUCAUAUUAGCCUUCAUAAACCUGCAGCCGCAAAACUUGAUCAGGUUCAGAGACAUUGCCACCAUUGUAAGGGUCACAACUUUCAUAUUUCUACUUAUGUACAAACACAUGAAGAUAUUUCUUAUAUCAAAACAUCAGGUCAUGUAGUUUUUUUAGCUGAGGAGUUGUUGUUAGCAUAUCUAACGGUGAAAGUAUAUGCUUCAAUCAUGUAGAAUCUCAUAUUUACAUGGUUGUUAGCUUGGUCAACAAUGUAAUCCUUCUCAAGAACUUCAACUUUCAAGGAUUAUUGGUAUUCUAAAAUCAUAUCGUCGCUCUAGUUGCAGGAGAUGCUGGAUUCAAACAUCACUCUAAACCCCCUAACCACCACUUAUUAAACUUAAGAGAUACAAGGUGAAGAUGCACAUGUAUGAAUAUCUAAAAACCACCGAUAAAAAUAAACUCAAUAAUCCCAGCUGCAACAGAUCUCAAAAACCACCGAUAAAAAUACAGAAAUGACAAUCCAACCAACCACCACACUUCAUGCAAUUCUACACAAUACAGAAAACAAGAGAGAGCAAGUUACAGAUAUAUUACCUCAGGUAUAAUACAACAGAUAUAAUACAACAGUAAGGCAUUUUACUACUUUUUCCUGCAAAUCUGUAAUGUCAGACCACAACCACAGAUAUAAUACAACAGUAAUCCUGAAACGUUAAAACUCAUUAUCAUUUUACAGAGAGUUUCUAGCCUUCCUUGCUAAAAAUUCACAUCAAAUUUGAAUUUUAUGUCUCAAAUUCAAUAAACAAACGAAUGUAAGGCAAACAUUGUUAUACGAGUAUGUGAAAUUUUUUAUGCAAUUGGAUUUGGCACUGAAGCGACUUUAACGGUCAUAACAAGUAUGUGAAAUUUUUAUAUGAUAACAGUUUUAGAGUAACUAUGCUCUCUGUGUUGCAUUAUUCUUAGGUUACGACCCAACAUAACAGAAUAACAGGAUGUAUCAUUAGCAUAUAUACGUUGCGUUCACACAUGCCGACUUGGUUGAUCGAAAGAGAAACAAAAAGGAAACCCAAUUUCCCCCAAUUUUCCCAGUAGUUGCCUACUAUCCAAAGAAACCCAAAAAAACCCAGCCGCAACAGAUCCCAAAAAAAAACCAAUUAAACACAGAAAAAUUGGGGGAAAAUGUUAGAGAAUUGGUAAAAAUUGGGAUUUUUAUGCAAACCACCACACAUUCAUGCAAUUCUGCACAAUACAGUAAACAAGAGAGGGAAAGGACAGAGAGAGACCUCAAGUAACUUGGCUCACUGUAAUGAACUGAUACCACCACCAUCACUAGAACUACCACCUGCAGAAAGAAUACAAGUCAUGAACCAAAGAUUUCCCACAAAAUAUUCCAAAAUACAAGCUUAUGAAACAAAAUAAAAUCAGAUCUACGGCUCUACCAAAACCCCCUUUUCCUUCCACCGGAGCGGAGAAACACAGAAACAAGAAACAAAGAUUUCCCACAAAAAUACUACAAAAUAGAAGCAUAUGAAUGAAAAGGGAUCAGCUCUAUGGCACUACCUCAAAACCCCAUUUUCCUUCCAAUGGAGCGGGAAGAGAGGGAGGAUCAUGGUGAGUUUAUCUCAGCCAAAGCCCUCUGGAUACCAAGAAGAAGGAUAAAAUAUUAGAAAAAAUACAAAAUGAAAAGCAUUGGAUUUAAGGAAAUCAGAUAUGUUCCCCUACCUCAAAAACUCCAUUUUGCUUGCACCGAAGUGAAACACAGAGAGAGAGAGAGAGAGAGAGAGAGAGAGAGAGAGUGAGAGUGAGCGGCAAAGAGAGGAAAAUGUUUCUAGGGUUU
rnacentral:lncRNA from 1 species